rnacentral:lncRNA from 1 species
GUGAGAAAUAGAUUUAAGGGACUGUAUCUGACAGAUAGAGUGCCUGAUGAACUAUGGACUGAGGUUCGUGACAUUGUACAGGAGACAGGGAUCAAGACCAUCCCCACGGAAAAGAAAUGCAAAGAAGCAAAAUGGCUGUCUGGGGAGGACUUACAAAUAGCUGUGAAAAGAAGAGAAGUGAAAAGCAAAGAUGAAAAGAAAAGAUAUAAGCAUCUGAAUGCAGAGUUCCAAAGAAUAGCAGGGAGAGAUAAGAAAGCCUUCGUCAGCGAUCAGUGCAAAGAAAUAGAGGGAAACAACAGAAUGGGAAAGACUAAGGAUCUCUUCAAGAAAACUGGAGAUACCAAGGGAAUAUUUCAUGCAAAGAUGGGCUCGAUAAAGGACAGAAAUGGUAUGGACCUAACAGAAGCAGAAGAUAUUACAAAGAGGUGGCAAGAAUACACAGAAGAACUGUACAAAAAAGAUCUUCAUGACCCAGAUAAUCACGACGGUGUGAUCACUAACCUAGAGCCAGACAUCCUGGAAUGUGAAGUCAAGUGGGCCUUAGAAAGCAUCACUAUGAACAAAGCUAGUGGAGGUGAUGGAAUUCCAGUUGAGCUAUUUCAAAUCCUGAAAGAUGAUGCUGUGAAAGUGCUGCACUCAAUAUGCCAGCAAAUUUGGAAAACUCAGCAGUGGCCACAGGACUGGAAAAGGUCAGUUUUCAUUCCAAUCCCAAAGAAAGGCAAUGCCAAAGAAUGUUCAAACUACUGCACAAUUACACUCAUCUCACAUGCUAGUAAAGUAUUGCUCAAAAUUCUCCAAGCCAAGCGUGAACUUCCAGAUGUUCAAGCUGGUUUUAGAAAAGGCAGAGGAACUAGAGAUAAAUCGCCAACAUCCGCUGGAUCAUGGAAAAAGCAAGAGAGUUCCAGAAAAGCAUCUAUUUCUGCUUUAUUGACUAUGCCAAAGCCUUUGACUGUGUGGAUCACAAUAAACUGUGGAAAAUUCUUCCGGAGAUUAGAAUACCAGACCACCUGACCUGCCUCUUGAGAAACCCAUAUGCGUCAGGAAGCAAUAGU